CGGGGAGCACCACAACAGGUGGACGCCUGCGGGUUUAACUCGGACCUCAACGCCGGGAAACUCACCAGAUGAGACAGCUGAAUGAUAGUCGGGCUGAAGACUCUACUUGACUAGCUGAGAGGAGGUGCAUGGCCGUCGUCAGUUCGUACUGUGAAGCAUCCUGUUAAGUCAGGCAACGAGCGAGACCCACGCCAACAGUUGCCAGCUCGUCCUCCGGGAUGGUGGGGACACUGUUGGGACCGCCUCUGCUAAAGAGGAGGAAGGAAUGGGCAACGGUAGGUCAGCAUGCCCCGAAUUAUCUGGGCUACACGCGGGCUACAAUGGGUGGGACAAUGGGUAUCGACACCGAAAGGUGAAGGCACUCUCCUAAACCCAUCCGUAGUUCGGAUUGUGGGCUGCAACUCGCCCACAUGAAGCUGGAAUCUGUAGUAAUCGUGUCUCAAAAUGGCACGGUGAAUAUGUCCCUGCUCCUU
rnacentral:rRNA from 1 species